rnacentral:rRNA from 1 species
UACGAAGGGGACUAGCGUUGUUCGGAAUUACUGGGCGUAAAGCGCACGUAGGCGGAUUUGUAAGUCAGGGGUGAAAUCCCGGGGCUCAACCUCGGAACUGCCUUUGAUACUGCAAAUCUCGAGUCCGAUAGAGGUGGGUGGAAUUCCUAGUGUAGAGGUGAAAUUCGUAGAUAUUAGGAAGAACACCGGUGGCGAAGGCGGCCCACUGGAUCGGUACUGACGCUGAGGAGCGAAAGCGUGGGGAGCGAACAGGAUUAG